AUGCUCCGCCCCUGCUUAAUCAUUGCGUGCAUCACUGUGAAUAGUACAACCCUUAAUCGUAAUUUCAACAGCAGAACAGAGACGAUUGAAAACAAUCUGAGAGCUGAAGUGUUUUACAAACAGCUACAGGAGACUAAUAACAAGUCUCUAAAGUGGAGUCUCUAUGCUUAGAAAACUGCACCUACAUCCCAGAACUUCAGAGAGCAGUGUUGAGAAGACUUGACUCUCAAUUGGUGCUAAUAAGGAGAACGAUCCUUAGAUCAGAUGAACCAAUACUCCCUGAAGUGCCACCACCAACAAUGGCUGAGCUGCUACAACUUUGAGGAGAUGUCACCACGCAACACAGGAUGCAGUUAGCACACCUUUGAGCGGAGAAGGAGCUUUCCCUUAUGUCAGACUUGGUGGUUCCCGGGAAAGUGUGAAAACCUACAGAGUACUCAGAAAUGCUGUUGAAAGAGGGUCGAGUACAACCAAACAUAAACAUGUGGGAAACAAUAUUUGUGCAAUCUUUGUCUAGCAUAUAGGCAUCAUUAUUGUAAUUUUGAAAUGGUUUUAGAAUGAUUUACUAAACUGUUCUCUUUUCCUGGAUAUCUAUGCUCAUAUGCACCCUCCUGUAGCAGACCUACAGGAGGGUACAUAUCCAGAAAGACGGAUGGACUACCCUGGUGGAAAUACAGUUCAAAUUACACAGAUGAGGUCAAAUAAAGUUGUAUUAGGGAGAUAAACAACAAUACAAGGUAGUCUCUGUAACCUUCUCAAAAUAACAAAAGCACAGUGUAAAGAAAACAUUCUGAUAAAGUACUGAACUGAUAUCACCCAGACCGAGGAAGAAAUCGCAAAAUAACUACUUCAAAUAAAAUGGUACUUGUCACAUGCUUCGUAAACAAAAGAUGUAGACUAACAGUGAAAUGCCUACUUACGGGCCAUUCCCAACCAUGCAGAGAAAAAAUAGAUAUAAUAGAAAAAUAAUAUGAGUGGAUAACAACUACCUUACUGUGAUUGUUUGCAAUUAAAAUGGUUAGAAAAAGACACAAAAAUAGCUUCUUAGCAAAAAUAAAUUUCUCAAGCAAGAAUUUUGCUAGGAUUGUCUGGGAGUGGUCUGAGUGGAGAGGGGAAAACAGAAAACUAGCUGUUAUUGGCAGAGAGGUUUGGAGCAUACUUUCUUAUUGGUCUAACUAAUUUACCACAUAGGGACAUCACCAGACAGGUCAAAACCCCAUCCCACCAAAACAGGUUGAAAUUUCAGGCGGUCAUUUCAAACAGCUCUAACACUAAAAGGGCAUUAUCAUAAUUUUCACAGUACUAAUCCAACCUCAUAGUGUGGAAAUAUAUAGAAAACCCAGGAAAACACAUUUUUGGCUGCACAGGACCUUUAACAAAGAUGAUGCUAAAUUUAGGUCAUAAUUCUGCCAAAUUACCCAGAUUGGCUACACAUACAGUAACUAUACUGAACAAAAAUAUGAGUUACAGUUCAUACAAGGAAAUCAGUCAACUGAAAUACAUCCAUUAGGCCCUAAUCUAUGGAUUUCAAAUGACUUGGAAUACAGAUAUGCAUCUGUUGAUCACAGAUACCUUAAAAAAAAGAAUAAUGGUGUGGAUCAGAAAACCAGUCAGUAUCUGGUGUGACCACCAUUUACCUCAUGCAGCGUGACACAUCUUCUUCGCAUAAAGUUGAUCAGGCUGUUGAUUGUGGCCUGUGGAAUGUUGUCCUACUCCUCUUAAUGGCUGUGUGAAGUUACUGGAUAUUGGCGGGAACUGGAACACGAUGUCGUACACGUCGAUCCAGAGCAUCCCAAACAUGCUCAAUGGGUGACAUGUCUAGUGAGUAUGCAGGCCAUGGAAGAACUGGGACAUUUUCAGCUUCCUGGAAUUGUAUACAGAUCCUUGCAUUAUCAUGCUGAAACAUGAGGUGAUGGCGGCAGAUGAAUGUCACGACAAUGGGCCUCAGGAUCACGUCACGGUAUCUCUGUGCAGUCAAAUUG
ensembl:lncRNA